GUCUUUUUGGUAUUAAUUUAAAGUCUAAUCUGCCCACUGAUUAAAAAUUAAAGGGCUGCAGUAUAUUGACUGUACAAAGGUAGCAUAAUAAUUAGUCUUUUAAUUGAAGACUUGUAUGAAUGAUUUGAUGAGAUAUAAACUGUCUCUUUUUUAUAAUUAGAAUUUAAUUUUUUAGUAAAAAAGCUAAAAUUAUUUUAAAAGACGAGAAGACCCUAUAGAGUUUUAUAAUUAUUAUUAAUUAUAGUUAUAAAUAGAUAUAUAAAUUUAAAAUUGAUUAAUUAGAUUAUUUUAUUGGGGUGAUAGAAAAAUUUAAUAAACUUUUUUUAAAAAUUUAACAUUAAUUAAUGAUUAAUUGAUCCAUAAUUUAUGAUUAAAAGAAAAAAUUACCUUAGGGAUAACAGCGUAAUUUUUUUUUUUAGUUCUUAUAAGAAAAAAAGUUUGCGACCUCGAUGUUGGAUUAAGAUAAAAUUUAAAUGUAGAAGUUUAAAGUUUUGAUCUGUUCGAUCAUUAAAACCUUACA
rnacentral:rRNA from 1 species